CCAAUAGCGUAUAUUAAAGUUGUUGCAGUUAAAAAGCUCGUAGUUGAAUUUCAGGCCUGGCUGGACGGUCCGCCCUUCGGGUGAGUACUGUCUGUGGUCGGGUCCUACCUUCUGGCGAAGCGUCAUGGCCUUAACCGGCCGUGGCGGGGAACCAGGACUUUUACUGUGAAAAAAUUAGAGUGUUCAAAGCAGGCAAUCGCUUGGAUACAUUAGCAUGGAAUAAUGGAAUAGGACAAUGGUUCUAUUUGUUGGUUUCUAGGACCGUUGUAAUGAUUAAUAGGGAUAGUUGGGGGCAUUAGUAUUCAAUUGUCAGAGGUGAAAUUCUUGGAUUUAUUGAAGACUAACUACUGCGAAAGCAUUUGCCAAGGAUGUUUUCAUUAAUCAAGAACGAAAGUUAGGGGAUCGAAGACGAUCAGAUACCGUCGUAGUCUUAACCAUAAACUAUGCCGACUAGGAAUCGGGCGUCGUUAUUUUCACGACUCGCUCGGCGCCUUAUG
rnacentral:rRNA from 1 species